GGGCCCGCACAAGCGGUGGAGUAUGUGGUUUAAUUCGAUGCAACGCGAAGAACCUUACCAGGGCUUAAAUGUAAGUUGCAUAGAUCAGAGAUGGUCUUUUCUUCGGACUACUUACAAGGUGCUGCAUGGUUGUCGUCAGCUCGUGCCGUGAGGUGUCAGGUUAAGUCCUAUAACGAGCGCAACCCCUGUCGUUAGUUACCAGCAAGUAAUGUUGGGUACUCUAGCGAGACUGCCGGUGCAAACCGUGAGGAAGGUGGGGAUGACGUCAAAUCAUCACGGCCCUUACGUCCUGGGCUACACACGUGCUACAAUGGCCGGUACAGAGAGCAGCCACUACGCGAGUAGGAGCGAAUCUUCAAAGCCGGUCUCAGUUCGGAUCGCAGUCUGCAACUCGACUGCGUGAAGCUGGAAUCGCUAGUAAUCGGAUAU
rnacentral:rRNA from 1 species